rnacentral:lncRNA from 1 species
CCUUCAAAUUCAUUCCAUUCCUUUCCACGUAUUCAUUGAAGGAACAAAAGUGUUAAUGAAUGAGGCAAAAGCCUGUAUGGUAAGAUAGGCCUUAUUUACUGUCCAGCCCCGAAACAAAUCAAUAAAAGUUGGUGAAGUCAAUUGCUUGUAAUAAAGCGAUAGCUCUUGCUUUCUACACCUCCACAAUUACUAGCUCCACCAACAGAGAAUAAUACUCACAUCUUUUACCAUGUUGCUGCUGCUGCCAUCGCUGCUGAAAACGAAGAGUAUAAGAAUACUACAGAGGAAGAAGAGAGAAUCCAAAAAUAAGUUAAUUUCAAAACACUUUUAUAUAAAAGUGUACCAAAAAAAUCAUUCCAAAAGGCAUUAGGUGCAUUUUGGAAGAGUUUGUUCUGGGCUAUCCGAUUCCAAAAAAAUUAUUCUAAAAUAUAUUUUAUGUGUUCUGAAAAUUAUAAAAAAAAAAAUUGAAAUAUGAAAUUGAAAAAUGUUAGUCAUUUUAAAAAUUUAAGCGUUCCAGGAAGUAAACGCCUUAAACAAUCCUUUUGAGGCAAGCCAGCGGUUCGACCUUUUUAGUAUUUUCACAUGUUGUAUUUAUACAUUUUUAACCAAUACAUUUUUUCAUUAAGAAAAUACUCUAGUCGUAAUCGAUAAUCAAGAAUGCGCUUAAAAGAAAGAUCUAAAACUCUCAAAAAAUUCUAAAGAAAUUAAUAUGUUGCUAUAGAGUUAAUUGGAGUCGAACUGAUUGAAUCCAAUCAAUAGAAAAUGACUCAACUUGUAGAUUGAUUGAAACUUAACAUGAACUAUUUUUUAGCUUGAACUCCUUUCGAUUAAAACUAGUUGUCAUUCAAUAAAUGUAGUGUUACAUUCUUUUUAAAUUUAUUCAUACACAAAUAAAGUAAAUAUAACUGAAUUAUAUAUGCACACAAAUCAAUAAAAAAUUAUAUAAAAUUUAAAAAUAAACUAAAGUUUGUACUAAAAUUUAAUUUAAUUUUCAAACUAAUUUGAAGUUAUUCGAUUUAAACGGUCUGGUCAGUAGUCAGAUUCAAAAAAAGGAAUAGUGGACCUUAAUUCUCAUACAAUUCAGUGGCAAAUAUAGAGAGAAACCUUAAUUCCAAAGGCUCUGCUCAAAUUCCAAUGAAACUGUACAUUGAGUUUGAAAUGCAAUCGAAACCCCCAAUAUCACUAUUGUUUGGGUUAACUAGAAGUAUUCUCCGAUGGAUAGUAAAAGACUAAUUCCUGAAAUACCAAAAUUCCUUUAUAAUGCUAAAGUUUUCAUCAAAAUUUCUUCUCUAUACUCUAACAUGAAGAUCUAACUUAUCAUCAAGGAUCAAACUGCUUGUAUUGACAAAGAUGAAUAUCUCAAAGCCUGAUUCAGAAGGACACACAACACAACCAAAGCAACACUUCCAUUUCAGAGCACUUUCGUAUUAAUUUACACUUACUCGGGAUCAAUUUUCAAAAGCGAAUCGGAGUUUAGAACAUCUCCAAAGGUCCAAAACUCAGUAGAAAUCUAGAGCUCUACAAUUUCAACGAAGACACAUAAAUUAGCCGCAUCAAACAUUGUAAUAGUGUGAAACGCGAUUGCAUUCGUUCACAGAAAACCUAGCGAGUGAAAGCGUACAGAACGAGCGAGGCGUAGAUGAGGAGCGCAAUGGGGACGAGGAUGAGAAGCGGAACGACGGCGGCGUAGGUGUGCGAGCUUCCGCAGGCAAGCGUUCCAAGCUUGAUCUGCGCGA